rnacentral:rRNA from 1 species
AGUGAACGCUGGCGGCAGGCCUAACACAUGCAAGUCGAACGGCAGCACAGUAAGAGCUUGCUCUUACGGGUGGCGAGUGUCGGACGGGUGAGGAAUACAUCGGAAUCUACUUUUUCGUGGGGGAUAACGUAGGGAAACUUACGCUAAUACCGCAUACGACCUACGGGUGAAAGCAGGGGAUCUUCGGACCUUGCGCGAUUGAAUGAGCCGAUGUCGGAUUAGCUAGUUGGCGGGGUAAAGGCCCACCAAGGCGACGAUCCGUAGCUGGUCUGAGAGGAUGAUCAGCCACACUGGAACUGAGACACGGUCCAGACUCCUACGGGAGGCAGCAGUGGGGAAUAUUGGACAAUGGGCGCAAGCCUGACCCAGCCAUACCGCGUGGGUGAAGAAGGCCUUCGGGUUGUAAAGCCCUUUUGUUGGGAAAGAAAAGCAGCAGGUUAAUACCCCGCUGUUCUGACGGUACCCAAAGAAUAAGCACCGGCUAACUUCGUG